rnacentral:lncRNA from 1 species
GCACUAACCAGGCCUAAUUCAGAGCACUGCAUCUGCAGCCUGGAAAUCUCUUUUUGCAUCCUUCAAAGAGCCAACUGCUUUGAUCUCGUUUUCACUUCCCUGCACUGUGGUGGCACCUGACCAAGCAUGGCCAUAUUGAUCCUCAGGUCAAAAGGUAAAACAGAAGUGGAUGAGAAGAGGAGCUCUGAAUUGCAACUGUCCUUCAGUGGAAAAAUGCCUCACCAUCAAGAGGUCCUCCCAGCUGUUUGUCGAGCUCUUACACAACUCUACACGCUCCUUGUUGGUGUUACCUUAGCAACAGCAUCUGCACCUGGCUCCAAGAGGAAGCGAGCAGCACCUAGCACUAGCUCCAGUGAGAGGCGACAGGCCUUCAGGAAGAGCCGGCCUGGAAUCAGGAGGCCUGGGCUACUGCUCGUGCUCUGUGGGCCACUGGCCCAGCUUCCAUUCUGGAUGGUCGCGCCAAGAAACUCCAUCAUCAAGCAGCUAUCCUUGGGCCGGUCUUCUGCGACUUCAUGCUUUACUUGCCACCUGUGAUGCAGAACGUUUGCUGACCAAGCAGAUGAUUAAGGUCCAAAGGGCAAGUACUUGGCAUGCCUGGCCUCUCCAGGAUGGAUAUUUCUGCAGCUGGAGUAGGAGGUAAACUUGGAAUUGGUCCUUGAA